rnacentral:misc_RNA from 1 species
ACACAUUAAAAAAUGUGAAAUAUCCACCAUAUAUACUCUUGUGUAUAACUGGUAUCAGUUGAUCAGAUUCUGAACUACAGUUCAUAGAGUCUGACAACUUGAAGAAAGCUGAUUGAGAAUGCAUGCCAUGUUGAUUAACUUCCGUGGGUGCUACUCAACAGCAAAAGGAACUAGCUGAAUGAGUUUGCAUGCCAUGUUGAUUAACUUCCGUGGGUGCUACUCAACAGCAAAAGGAACUAGCURAAUGAGUUUGCAUGCCAUGUUGAUUAACUUCCGUGGGUGCUACUCAACAGCAAAAGGAACUAGCUGAAUGAGUUUGCAUGCCAUGUUGAUUAACUUCCGUGGGUGCUACUCAACAGCAAAAGGAACUAGCUGAAUGAGUUUGCAUGCCAUGUUGAUUAACUUCCGUGGGUGCUACUCAACAGCAAAAGGAACUAGCURAAUGAGUUUGCAUGCCAUGUUGAUUAACUUCCGUGGGUGCUACUCAACAGCAAAAGGAACUAGCUGAAUGAGUUUGCAUGCCAUGUUGAUUAACUUCCGUGGGUGCUACUCAACAGCAAAAGGAACUAGCUGAAUGAGUKUGCAUGUGCCAUGUUGAUUAACUUCCGUGGAUGCUACUCAACAGCAAAAGAAAUCUAUUCUAUUGAUCGGUCGACUUCCUGGCAUACAUACACCAUGUAUUGCCUAGUGUCCCAGAUAGAUAGAUGGUAAGCAAAACACAAUAUUGUGUUUGCUCAGUGUCAAAAUGAAAAUGACAAAAUAGCCAAUACUAAAUGUGAUCAUUAGCCAGCAAGAAUAUAAA